rnacentral:misc_RNA from 1 species
ACGGGAAUAGUGCGGUAGCCAGAAUUAACAAGGUUAUUUCCCUUUUUUAAAAAAUCACCAUUUGUAGCAACGAAAGGAAAAAUAGAAAUAAUUUAUUUGUACUGAAACAUGAAGACUUGUUGACUUCUUGGUUUCACUAUCAGGAGUAAGCUGUGAUUGAAACAUUAAACAUUAAAAACUGAAUAGAAAUGGAAGUAGUGAAUGAAAGUCUUGCAGACAGGUUAAAUAGAGAAGCUGAAGGUGAAAAUGUCAAGGUUAGCAGAGCUGCAGAUAGCAGUACUGAAUCAGGGCUGAAUAGUGAUGUUCACAUUCUAAAUGAAGAUGCAGAAAGUAAGGACACUAAACCUGUUUAUAGUGAUGAAAAACAAGACUAUGAUAAUAUUGAUGUAACACUGAAAAAUGAAAACAAAGUUUUAUCAGAAGAAAUGACUGACACAUGUACUGAUUUCCCCAACUCUUCAGGAGUGGAAGAUAGUAAAUGUGAUAGUAGUAAUGUAACAGUUGAGAAAAGAACUGAAAUCCAUCAAGAUGGUGAAAGCUGUAUAAAUGGGCAUAGUUCAGAUACAGAAGUUUGUCAAACAAGAAGUGAAAAUGCAAAAGACAGCGAGGGAGAUAAUCCCAUCACAGCAGAUGAUGAUAGCUGUAACAUACAUAGUUCUGGUGCAGAAAUAGAGCAAACAGAUGAUAAGGGAGAUAAUGAGGAUUUGUUUGUUGACUUAAGCGAAGAUUCUGGGUCCGAUGCAGAGUAUGAAUCAGCAGAGGAGGGGGAAGAAAUACAGGUGGAUAAAGAAAAUUUACAAGUACUGGAAAACGCCCUUACUGAUGAAGAAAAAGAGGAACGAAGAAAUUCAGCACAGACGUUGAAGGAAGAAGGCAAUGAUUUGUUCCGAUGUGGGAGCUACAAAUCAGCAAUACGUACUUAUUCGCGUGCUUUACGGACAUGUCCUCUCAAGUAUGCCAAGGAUAGGGCAAUCAUGUACUCGAACAGAGGAGCAUGUAAGAUGAGAUUGGAAGACUUGGAGGAGUCUAUAAGGGACUGCAGUAAAGCUCUUGAUUUACAUCCACAUUACAUGAAAGCCCUGAUGAGGAGAGCAGAGCUGUAUGAAAAAACUGAGAAGUUAGACGAGGCCCUGGCUGACUACCAGAAAAUUCUGGAACUCGAUCCAUCACAGCAUACUGCUAGGGCAGCUUGUGUGAAACUUCCAGAUCAAAUUAAAGAAAGAAAUGAGAAGUUGAAGGAGGAGAUGAUGGGUAAGCUAAAAGACCUAGGAAAUAUGGUAUUACGACCUUUCGGGCUUUCAACAAACAACUUUCAGAUGAAGCAAGAUCCCACAUCUGGAGGUUAUUCUGUGAACUUUGUGCAAAAUCCAGAACAGAAAUAAUACAGUAAAUGCUCAGAAGUUAACAGAUGUUAAUUUAUUGAAGUUUGUUAGGAAUAGAAAAGGUUCUACAUAAAACUGUGAUAAUGCAAGUCUGUUUAUGUAUAAGUGUUUAAAAAACACAUAGGUCAAGUUUGCAGACUGAUUUCUAAAAACACAUAGGUCAAGUUUGCAGACUGAUUUCUAAAAACACAUAGGUCAAGUUUGCAGACUGAUUUCUAAAAACACAUAGGUCAAGUUUGCAGACUGAUUUCUAAAAACACAUAGGUCAAGUUUGCAGACUGAUUUAUUAUAGCCCUUAUCAUGCUAAAUACGAUUGAUCUUGCCUUUGUGACCAGUGUAGAUCAUGAUCAGCCUGCACAUCCAUGCAAUCUGAUCAUGAUCUGCACUGUUCGUCAUUCAGUCUGUGUUUAUUUUGGUAAGCACGCCUUUAAACAGUUAAUUGUACUGUCCAAAGUGAAAGAUGGACAUGUUCAUUAUAAAAAUUUAGCAGGGUAAGGGUUAAUAUGCCUAAAUUUCAUUUUACUGCAUGGUAACUAAUGACAAAAUGAACUUUUUUUGUAUAUAAAUAACUGCAUGUUAGUUUGAAAGUAAUACACUUUCUUAGUGUACAA